ACAUGAGCAGAAGAUCCUAGAACUCACCCACAAGAUGAUGGAGCUGCUGACUGGAGAGGUUCCUAUAAGGUGUCAGGAUGUCACUGUCUAUUUCUCCAUGGAGGAGUGGAAGUAUAUAGAAGGCCACAAGGAUCUGUACGAGGAGACCAUGAUGGAGGAGCACCAGCCUCUUAUAUCACAAGAUGGAUCCAGGAGGAGAAAACCACUAGAGAGAUGUCCCCGUCCUCUGUAUUCCCAGG